UACGUAGGGGGCAAGCGUUGUCCGGAUUUACUGGGCGUAAAGGGUGCGUAGGCGGUAUUUUAAGUCAGAUGUGAAAUAUCCGAGCUUAACUCGGAGGGUGCAUUUGAAACUGGGAUACUUGAGUGCAGGAGAGGAAAGUGGAAUUCCUAGUGUAGCGGUGAAAUGCGUAGAUAUUAGGAGGAACACCAGUGGCGAAGGCGACUUUCUGGACUGUAACUGACGCUGAGGCACGAAAGCGUGGGGAGCAAACAGG
rnacentral:rRNA from 1 species